AUCAAAGUUUUCUUUAAAAUAACUACUUAAUCAACAUAUUGUUUUAUAAUAUUUCAUGAAAAAUGUACGAAUUAUUUAUAGAAGUACCACCAGCUUAGGUUUGUUGCGUAUAUACCGCCCUUACAUUAAUGGCUGCUCUGCUUUCCCGCCUUCCGUUAGUUUGACAUGUUAUUGAUAAAAGUGAUUUUAACAUUUAAUUUCUAUUUCUGUAUAAAAAUAAUAUGUGUUUUCUACCAAGUGAUACUAAUAAGGUGUUAAUACGACAAUUUUUCAUAAAUUUCCGUUAAAGGAAGGUUUUAAUUGAAGAAGGAUGCGCUGCUCCACUCUUCUAUCGGCUGAAAUGGUGGCAUAAAUCUACAAGAACAAUUGCAAUAACAGCUUUACUUGUAAAUCAGUUCAAAUGUUCUAAUGUAAUAAAAGUUUAAUGCAUCGAUAAAGUGGAAAUUCGCAAUUCUUCCUUGCCCCUGCCGCCACUGCCCCGCAGGGGCGCAGCUCGUCAAGUUUUCGCCGCCGAGAAACAAAAGAAUCUGCAAUACUUGCGCUUAAUGUUCGAGGAUAACGAGAAGCAUAAAAAAUGUCCGAUUUCAAGUCGGAGCUGCAAAGAUUUAUUCAUGGACGAGUGAUGAAGUACAGCGCUUGCGGAUGACUGCGAAAUUAUCUAUGCGCGCGGAGUGUAAGCGGCAGACCGCAAU